GAAAAGAGCAAGCAUGGAGCAAUGGAGAAGCGGGCUGCCCCCAACCCAUGUAGUAUGUCUGCUGUGAUUGUUAUCUGAUUAUCUUGGAGAAACUCUCUUGGAGAAACUGAGUUAGCAAUAACUGGAAACGAGAUGCAAUGAGACUGAGAACCAGAACAACAGCUGCUGCUCUUAACAGAGGCUCAUUUUGCCUCUUUUCCUUUCACAAAAGCCAAGAACAAUGGAGAGAGAAUGGGACCAUUGAAGAAAGUGGAAAUGGCAAUUUAAUAUGCUCCCCUCAGAAAUCAAUGAAGUAAUUUCUAAAGGAAGUUAGAGUGAUCUGUGGCUAUCAGCAACCCCUAUUUAAUUUAUCAUGAAGGGAAAAAAAGAAUUCAUCCAUUAGGGAAAACUGGAAACGGAACAAUUUGCCCCAAGGAAAACUUAACUUUGAUAAGAUUGAAUGAAAAGUUGUAUAAAUAAAG
rnacentral:lncRNA from 1 species